GGUGCCGUGGCUUAGAUGGGUAAAGUGCCUCUCUAGUAAACAGGAGAGCCUGGAUUUGAAUCCCAGCAGUGCCU
rnacentral:tRNA from 1 species